CAGACUUAUGCGUAUCCUUGGUCUCUUAGUCCCUUCUCUAGGAAAAAUGUAUCACAUAGCCUUAUUUAAGACACUUUUCUGAACCUGAUAGAGACUAAGCAAAAUGGAAGCAAAGGGUCUUUAUGAUUAAAAGCAAUUGCGUGUAACUAUAACAGUACAUUAGUAGCAUCUAACAGUUCUAGUUUUUCCAUGUUUGUAUAGAUUCCAUUGCUAUUAAAUAUUUCCAAAAAAAUAAAUAUUAUGUAUUUGCAGGUUUCUAAUAUGGUGGCGAAAAAUGCAGAAAUGCAUAAAAAUAAACUGCAGUACUUUAUGGAGCAGUUUUAUGGAAUCAUCAGAAAUGUGGAUUCGAACAACAAGGAGUUAUCUAUUGCUAUCCGUGGAUAUGGACUUUUUGCAGGACCCUGCAAGGUUAUAAACGCAAAAGAUGUUGACUUCAUGUACGUUGAGCUCAUUCAGCGCUGCA
rnacentral:sRNA from 1 species